ACCGGCAAGAAAGAAUUCUGUACAUUCUGUGUGCGAUUAUUUAAGGAAUAAACUACAAAGUCUCCACCAUAGAAUCCACCGCGACGAGGGAAACGGCAUCGGCUGAUGAGGAAAGACUCCGCUCCUCGACUGGUUAACAGAUCCACAGCAAGAAUUGGAACAUUGAUUUUUCAGUAAUCUCUAGACUUUGAAGACCCCAAGAUGACAGGAAGCCGAGAGGAGCCAAUAACAUAGAAAUAAGUGGUGACGUAGCUCAAAAAGGUUACGGAAAAUUAGGAGCAGAAAACGGGGAAAAAGAAAAGACAACCUGGUACGUUCCCAGGAACCAAAAAUAAAAGGACUGGCGGAGGACCAGUGCGCUGGCGGGAAGAUACGGAUGUUAGUGGACAAAUCGAUUGACUCUUCUCAUCAUCGAUAUCAGAAUUAAACACUGCCAUGAAUCCCAUAUGACUCACAUUGAUGUCAGCAGCAUAUAGUAAAGUGGAGUGAUAUCCUCUACUGGCGCUGAAAAUGAUAGCUGGAUCGAGACCAAAUCCUGCCAUUUUUGAGAACAGAGAGAAUACAAUUUAGAUGCAACUGGGUUGGCGAGGAACCAAACCCUCUUCUAAACUUUUCAAACUUGAUGAGUCAUAUCCAGUUUUCCAGUUCCAAAAGUACACAUCACCCAUAAAUGUCACACAAGCAAACUUUUGUAAUCAAUAAAAAUGUAAUUUUGAGAAGAUUUAAUAAAGAAAAACUUGGUGCUGAAUGGGAAUUCUCAUGAAAUCCCACAAGAUUAAAGUGGUUGUACUAUAUCAUCAGAUGGGACCUAUUGAAAUGAAUGCUGACUGUUGUCUCUCUUGUAAUUGUGAUUUUAUGGUCAUUCGAUGUCACUCCUGUUGCAGAAAUGAUA